CGCCCGCCGCGCGCGGCGGGCUACGGGAGGCAGCAGUGGGGAAUAUUGCACAAUGGGCGCAAGCCUGAUGCAGCCAUGCCGCGUGUGUGAAGAAGGCCUUCGGGUUGUAAAGCACUUUCAGCGGGGAGGAAGGCGGUGAGGUUAAUAACCUCAUCGAUUGACGUUACCCGCAGAAGAAGCACCGGCUAACUCCGUGCCAGCAGCCGCGGUAAUA
rnacentral:rRNA from 1 species